GUAUAACUCAGUUGGUUAGAGCAUGGUGCUGAUAACAACAAGGUUGCGGGUUCAAUCCCCAUAUGUAACA
rnacentral:tRNA from 1 species